AACGAACGCUGGCGGCAGGCUUAACACAUGCAAGUCGAACGCCCCGCAAGGGGAGUGGCAGACGGGUGAGUAACGCGUGGGAAUCUACCUUUUGCUACGGGAUAGCUCCGGGAAACUGGUAUUAAUACCGUAUGUGGCCUCCGGGGGAAAGAUUUAUCGGCAAAGGAUGAGGCGGGGUUGGAUUAGCUAGUUGGUGGGGUAAAGGCCUACCAAGGCGACGAUCCAUAGCUGGUCUGAGAGGAUGAUCAGCCACAUUGGGACUAAGACACGGCCCAAACUCCUACGGGAGGCAGAAGUGGGGAAUAUUGGACUAUGGGCGCAAACCUGAUCCAGCCAUGCCGCGUGAGGGAUGAAGGUCUUAGGAUUGUAAAGCUCUUUCACCGGGGACGAUAAUGACGGUACCCGGAGAAGAAGCCCCGGCUAACUUCGUGCCAGCCGCCGCCGUAAGAC
rnacentral:rRNA from 1 species